UCUAUGUUGUUUGUAAGGCAGACCAGCUAAAGUCUUGGAAAGCUGAUUUGAAGGAAAAUUCCACUUAUGUCAUGCAUAAUUUUAAAGUGAGGAAGAAUGAUGGUCAAUUCAGAGUCUGUGAGCAUCAAUAUAAAUUAGUUUUUAUUGGAGUUACUGUUGUUGGGCAAUCCAAUUUAGAUGACCUUCCUUUUAAGGAAUUUAGAUUUGUUGAAUUUUCCAAUAUCAUUUAUGGCAAUUUCGAGGCUGGCCUGUUGGUUGGUAAGCUCAGUCGCAAUUUGUCCACUCAUUUUGGUCACGAUGUUUAUCUUUUUUUAAAUGACCUGUCUUUAUUUUCUGCUUCUUUAAGACAUUAUUGGCGUCGUUGAUGAGGUGCUCUUUCGCCAUGUCUCAUAAAAAAAUACCAGGGUUGUUUUUAAAAUCAAGGAUUUGAGGUUAUGUUGUACAACAAUCUUUUCUCCCCCCUAUAUAUUUGGUCAUUAUAAAUUGAUAUUGUCACCAUUUUUGUUUGCCUUGCUCCGUGAUUGUUAUCUAAAUUUGACGGUUAUUAACUGAUACAUUUAUUGUUGUUUCUUUCCUAUAGUGGCCAAGUGUUAUCUUGCACUAUUUGGGAAAAUUACUAUUUACAGUUCUUAGCCUACUUGAAUGAGAUUGAAAAUGAUGGCCCGAUGGUUAUCAUUUUGACACAUGCCAGAAUCAAAGAAGGGCAGGGUAAGUCUGAUGUCAUAUUUGCCAGUUGUGGUGCUCAUUACAUAGCAUUUCCUAUUUUUUUUGCCACACCUACAGGAUCCUAUCCACCUUCAGUGAGUAAUUUGUUGAAGGCCUCACAAUUAUUGAUUAAUGAACCUGUAUUGGAAAUCCAAGAAUUCAGGGAGAGGUAUUUUGGUCAUGUCGUUUGCUUUGUAUCUAUAAAAUUCGUGCAUCAAGUAUGUUGAAUCUUUGUUGUUAUUCUUUCCUAUUUAUUCCAUUCCCAUAGGCUUUCAGAUUUAGGUAUUGAGGUUGGGCUAGUUUUGACACCUCGCGGUCAAGGAAGAUCGCAACUUUCAGGGUCAAGCUAGUUAUCAUCAAAGGAUGCAUUUCUUUCAAAAGCUUAGGCAAAAACGAUUUCUGAGAUCAAUGUCAUUUUGAAGGAUAUUGUUUGUGUUACCGUGGGCACAAUUAGCAGAAUAGUAAUGGAUAAUCAUUCGUGGUGUUAUCCAACUUGCAUUCAAUGCCACAAGAAAACUGACAUAGAAGCAGCACCAUUCAAAUGCGGAUGUGGCAAAGAGAAUGAUCAACCUGUCCUGAGGUAUACACUUGAAGUGAAUGUGCUGAGUUGAUUGGUCAAUCAACGGAUGAAGUCAACAGGGUAAAAAUAGAAGUAUGUUAAUGUAUUAUCAUAUAAUGCUUCUUAUUUUAUGAGUAAUAUUUUGUUUCUUUGGUAUGUAAUUCAAUUCUAGCUUCUGACUCGUGGAUUUGUCUGCUUUGCGCAAGAAGGGUGAUGUUGAUCUAAAUGCUUCUCCUUAAGCACUUGUUCGACUGCUGGGUCAUGUCCUUGCUUUUAAGGUUAGGGUUCAACCAAAGUUCAGGAAUGUUGUUGUUCUUAGAUACUCAAAUGAAUUAGAUUUGAUCAAUGUUGUGCUGGACAUGCUGCCUGAUACUGAGGUUCUGUUUUCUGAUGUCUAUUUUAGUUGUUUUUGUCAUAGCAAUAUAAUGUAUGCCUUUGGCUAUUCUUAAGUUAUAUAUCAUGCAGGCAUGUUCCAAGGUAGAUAGUCUAAACCUUGAUUGCAAUGAUGCUCCACAAGUUGAAUCUAUAAGCUAAGAUUGUUGUUAUGGGUCUUGGUGGUACAUUUUUUUAUGAAGCAAUAAAAAAAUUAGCCUGCUGCGAACUUUGCAUCCGUUUAAUUUACCAGUUUA